ACCGGGAGGCGGAGGUUGCUGUGAGCUGAGAUCACACCACUGCACUCCAACCUGGGUAACAGAGUGAGACUCUGUCUCAAAAAAUAAAUAAAUAAUUAAAAAUAAACAUUUUAACUGUACAAUAGCUUUAGAUUUACCAAAAAAAGUUACAAAUAUGGCACAGGGAGUUCUGUAUACCCCAUAACUAGUUUCCCCCCACCCACUUUUUUUUGAGACACAGUCUUGCUCUGUCACCCAGUGCAGUGGUGUGAUCUCGCCUCACUGCAACCUCCGCUUCCUGGGUUCAAGUGAUUCUCCUGCCUCAGCCUCCAGAGUAGCUGGGAUUGCAGGCACGUGCCACCACACCCAGCUAAUUUUUGUAUUUUUAGUAGAGAUGGGGUUUCACCAUGUUGGCCAGGCAGGUCUGGAACUUCUCCUGACCUCAAGUGAUCCACCCGCCUCAGCCUCCCAAAGUGCUGGGAUUACAGGCGUGAGCCACCACGACCAGCCCCCUAUUGUUAACAUCUGACAUUAUCACAGUACAUUGUCAAAACUAGGAAACCAACCUUGGCACAUUGGUAUUAACUAAACUCCAGACUAUAUGCCACUAGUUUUAACUAAUAUUAACUAAACUCCAAAUUUCACUAGGGUUUUUUUCCCCUAAUAUCCCUUUUCUGUUUCAGCAUCCAAUCCAGGAUAUUACAUUGCAUGUAGGGGCGAAUGUGCUUUUAACCAUGAUCUAAACCUGCUUAGAUGGCUGUUUCCAGCUCCAUCCCUGUGCUCCCUUCUAAGAAUUUCCAACCAACAUAGGGAAGGAGAAGGAACCAAGGUCUUAAGAAUAUCAGCUCUAAAAGCCACCUCUUCACUUCUCAUAAGCAUUUCUUGGAAGAACAAUCUCCAGAACUAGAAUCUAACAAGAUGCUCUGUUACUUUAAAGAAAAAGAGCGUUUUGUUGUUGUUGUUGUUUCGUUUUGUUUUGUUUUGUUUGAGACAGAGUCUUGCUCUAUCACCCAGGCUGGAGUGCAGUGGCCUGAUCUCAGCUCACUGCAACCUCCACCUCCUGGAUUCUAGUGAUUAUCCUGCCUCAGCCUCCUGAGUAGCUGGGGCCACAGAUGCAUGCCACCAUGCCUGGAUAAAUAUUUUUGUAUUUUUGGUAGAGACAGGGUUUCACCAUGUUGGCCAGGCUGGUCUCAAACUCCUGACCUCAGGAGAUCUGUCCACCUCGGCCUCCCAAAGUUCUAGGAUUACAGGCAUGAGCCACCACACUCGGCCAAAAGAGUGGUUCUAUGGUCAAAUAAAUUCAAGAAAUGCUAGGUGCCAAAUCCCUCCUUGAAGAAACAAAGUGGCCAUCAACAAGACAAAAUUCCUCAGGAGUCCUGCAACAAAUAAGCCACGUUAUUUGGUUUAAUAGAGAAUUACCUCAAGUCUCAGUAAUUUGUGUACUGCCUUCACGCGUUUUGCCACAUCAGCAACCUGAACUGUUACUGACUUGAUCUUCUUUCUUUAAAUCUACUCACCUUUUAAAAGGUACAUUCUAAAAGAGCAUUUUAUCUCACUACUAUGAGUGGAAAAAUGAGGAUCAUUUGCCAAAAUUAGUUAGAAUGAGUAAAAAUAUUAAUUUGAUCCCAGAACCUGCUCAGGUCAUCCCACCUAACACCAGUGAGUGUUCCAUACGACCGUUUGGGAAACACUGGUUAACAGAACUCCCUUUUCCGUAACACCUGUUAAAAUCCUGGGGAUACUUUGGGAAUGCUGGUCCAGUUGGUUUUCCUUUGAGGCCCAGACGAUCAGGAAACAUGCCUAGGGCCGCACGGGUAAGGUCCAAACUAAAGUUGAAGUCCCCUUCCCACCUCUCUAGUGCUCUUCCCACAACCCUACUCAGGUUCUAGGGUUCAGACAUCUUCUGGGCAAGGCCAAAAGGGGUUCCAUGAGGGCCAAGGUCUGUAAUACAGAAGGUUCAGAUUUCAUGUGAUCAGGUUUUGAUCUCAUGUUUGAGAUUUUUUGUUUGUUUGUUUUUUGAGACAGAGUCUCGCUCU
rnacentral:lncRNA from 10 species